rnacentral:lncRNA from 1 species
AUGGCUGUGACCUCCAGCCAGAAUAAGCUCUGUGUUACAGCCUUGCAGCGAGAAGCGAGCGACCAGGAAGCAACUCUAGUAAGACGGAUUGUCGGAGAGUCCCUGCUGCUGCAGUGCCAACACACACAGGCCCUUUUACAUUGGCAGAACGACACUGCAGCUCCCAAGGCGGUGUUUCACAGCGACCGAAUUUAUGGACUCAGCUUCAACUACCUGUUUGUUGAGUCUGUGACCAUGGACCACAGUGGAAACUACACCUGUGCGUCACCAAGUGAUGGCAAAAAUAAGUCUACUCGCAUCCAGGUCCUCGAACAGGCGUUUCUGGAAAUUCUUCAAAUUAAGGAAACAAACUACGUCUCUGCCUCUGAACGGAAGUCCUUCUGCCUACAGGUAGUGGUGUCCUCUUACCCUGAGGCCCACUGCAAGUGGAUCACUCCCAAUGAGACUGUGCCUUGCACAGAGCCCAGUCGCUACUGGGGGGACAGGACAUUCAAAUACUGCAAUCCCGCUCCAGGAGAAUACCAAUUUCAUGUGGAGGCGAAUGGCAUCUCCAUCACUAGGAAUAUGUCCUGUUGUGUGGUAGAUGGCGUCUCUGUGACCGUGCAGCGCCUCGAAGACACGAUCGGUUGUUCGGCCGACUUCACCCGUCCUGUGAACCUCACGUGGAGAACUUGUCAGCUCCAUACCGGGUAUGUUUGUGUCUCACUCUCUAUCUAUCUAUCGGUUAUUCAUUGAUCCAUUUGAUUACAAUUUUGCCAGACUGCUCUGCAUUCCGACACUCCGAGUCGCUCUGGGGUUUAGUACUAAUAAUCGUACUCUCCCGUUGUUUAUUUACUAAACGUGGAGUACUUUUGGUUUCUGCUCCCCGCUGUCAUGAAUUAGUGAGUUUCGUGUUGUUGCCUUGUGCUGCGGAGGCUCAGGUUCAAAGGCAAGGGAGUUUCCAGCAGGAGUGCACUGAGGGAGUCCUCUGCUGCGAGUUCUACUGGCCGUGCUGCGUUUGGCGAGGUACCGUGCUUUGAAACGGUCUAACGCCUCAGCUGUCCGUGGCACCCGGACCCGGCGUUAUCGCCGUCGUCGCAGAUCCUGA